rnacentral:rRNA from 1 species
AUAAUCUCAGUUCAGAUUGCAGGCUGCAACUCGCCUGCAUGAAGUCGGAAUUGCUAGUAAUCGUAGGUCAGCAUACUACGGUGAAUACGUUCCCGGGCCUUGUACACACCGCCCGUCAAACCAUGAGAGUUGGCAACACCCGAAGUCGGUAGUCUAACCGCAAGGAGGACGCCGCCGAAGGUGGGGUUGAUGAUUAGGGUUAAGUCGUAACAAGGUACC